rnacentral:rRNA from 1 species
GACGAACGCUGGCGGCGUGCUUAACACAUGCAAGUCGAACGGUAAGGCCCUUCGGGGUACACGAGUGGCAAACGGGUGAGUAACACGUGGGUGAUCUGCCCUGCACUUCGGGAUAAGCCUGGGAAACUGGGUCUAAUACCGGAUAGGACCACUGCCUGCAUGGGUGGUGGUGGAAAGCUUUUGCGGUGUGGGAUGGGCCCGCGGCCUAUCAGCUUGUUGGUGGGGUGAUGGCCUACCAAGGCGACGACGGGUAGCCGGCCUGAGAGGGUGACCGGCCACACUGGGACUGAGAUACGGCCCAGGCUCCUACGGGAGGCAGCAGUGGGGAAUAUUGCACAAUGGGCGCAAGCCUGAUGCAGCAACGCCGCGUGGGGGAUGACGGCCUUCGGGUUGUAAACCUCUUUCAGCACCGACGAAGCGCAAGUGACGGUAGGUGCAGAAGAAGGACCGGCCAACUACGUGCCAGCCGCCGCAGUAA